rnacentral:rRNA from 1 species
UACAGAGGUCUCAAGCGUUGUUCGGAUUCAUUGGGCGUAAAGGGUGCGUAGGCGGCGCGGUAAGUCGGGUGUGAAAUCUUGGAGCUUAACUCCGAAACUGCAUUCGAUACUGCCGUGCUUGAGGACUGGAGAGGAGACUGGAAUUUACGGUGUAGCGGUGAAAUGCGUAGAUAUCGUAAGGAAGACCAGUGGCGAAAGGCGGGU